CUUACUUAGGUCUGUGGUUGCGGGCGCAAGAUGCGCUCUAGUCCAUGGCAGACGAGGCCAAAGGGAUCCACGUAAGCUGGUGCGUGCGCGCAUUGGCGAUCAUGGCUCGUCCUAGAGGUAAGUCGUACCGCCCGUUAGAUGAGAGGCACGGGGCCUCGCGGGCGAGAGGACGGCGUGCGGGGAGCUGCGGCACCCCAAGCUAAGUCCCAGUACGCGAGUGUGGGGUCAAAGACCAGGUCAGCUGGGUAAG
rnacentral:ncRNA from 1 species